GUUCUUUUACAGUUGUCCUGGGGAAGGAUGUGUAUCAUUGGCUAAAGAGAAGACUUGGAACUUCUUGAGUUGAGAGGAUAAAAGAUGAAGAAGAUGAUCUGUUAGAGACCACUUGUAGCAAUGAUUUGAACUCCAAAGGACAUAUAAUGGCAUUUUAAUUCUGAUCUGGGGCCUGAAUUUGGGAAAGGAAGAGUGAAGAAUAGUUGUCCAAGAGAUAAGAUGUCCAUCAUGUGUAUGCCUGAUGUCUACCAAGGUCACAAGAGGGUGUCGGAAAAACUUGCUUCUCUCCAUGGUGAGACUGAGUACGGCAAAUGUUUGAUCAGUAAUCAGGAAGAAAAGUAGAGUUGUAUGAAGUAACUUUUGGGAUUUAUUUCUUUAAUAUAAAGAGAAAACUUUGAAUUAGUCCUUGCCU
rnacentral:lncRNA from 1 species